CUCUUUUCUUAAAGGAGCCUAAGUCGAAUUGAUUCAUUGGGCAUUCCACAUAGUGGUGGUGCGCAGCAAAAACUGCGUUAAGAAGCGCUCAGUAGUUGUUAUUUUUAUUUUGUUUCAACUGGUUUAAGUAUUUUAAUGCUAUCGUAUAGACGGGGAAACGAACAACAUAAGACAGACACAUAACAUAAACAUAUAUAUUUUCCUGGUACCCAAUACUGCGCUAAGUACGUGCGUUGAUUGAGCAAACCUAAACGUCAAAUCAAUGAUGGAUGGAAUUGAGUGUUACAGCCGUAAGUGUCAUAUGAGAACAUGUCAUGUCGAUCUGUUCCGCCAUGCACGAAAUGAAGAGCCCUGCUUUACAUUCUCGAUUGAUUGCACAGGAGAAGCCCGUUAGUAAAUGCGACCUGCUGCGCUCCUCUAUAAUUACACAGCCCCGAGCGACAUUUCCAAAGCUUUUGAAAACGAUAACACGGAAGCUGUUACGUAAACUUAAAAAAUAAAUGUGACAUUAUUUAAUAGCUCCUACUGAAGAAACGAACUUUCUAUGGAUUACGCAGAUUACCUGGAAAAUCACGGAAGAAAGAAAUCCAACCUCUUUUAUAAUAUACAUCAUUAUUUUAUUUAAAAAGAAUUUUAUUCAUGUCUAUGGUUACUUUUAAGUUUAUUGCAUGUACGGCUAUCGUUUUAUUGUGAUUG